rnacentral:rRNA from 1 species
AAUGGGCGCAAGCCUGAUCCAGCCAUGCCGCGUGAGUGAUGAAGGCCCUAGGGUCGUAAAGCUCUUUCGCCUGUGAAGAUAAUGACGGUAGCAGGUAAAGAAACCCCGGCUAACUCCGUGCCAGCAGCCGCGGUAAUACGGAGGGGGUUAGCGUUGUUCGGAGUUACUGGGCGUAAAGCGCGCGUAGGCGGACUAUUAAGUCAGAGGUGAAAUCCCGGGGCUCAACCCCGGAACUGCCUUUGAUACUGGUAGUCUUGAGUUCGAGAGAGGUAAGUGGAAUUCCGAGUGUAGAGGUGAAAUUCGUAGAUAUUCGGAGGAACACCAGUGGCGAAGGCGGCUUACUGGCUCGAUACUGACGCUGAGGUGCGAAAGUGUGGGGAGCAAACAGGAUU